CAGGAACUCUUUUCUUGAAGAAAUUUACAUUUUAAUGGAGAAUGCUAUGAGAGAAAAGACAAGGAAUUGUUAAAUAGUAGAGCUAGAGGAAGGGAAAGUAGCAGGCUAGCAGAGUGGAGAGAAGGGUCAGGAAAAUCUGAUGAAUGACGGAGACAAUGGGCUUGAGCCGAGAUGGCCGGGUGAGAAUUUAAAAACCAAAAGACUGGAGCUCAUGAAGUUAACUCUGGAAGUGGAGAAGAGAACCAGCCAAGAAGUCUGCUCCUGAGUUUUCUUUAAAAGAAUCAUGGAUGACUCAUAUCUUACUUCAAAGAUUUCAGAAGAGCUGAAGUGUUCUAUCUGCCUAGAUUUCUUGGAAGAUGUCACAUCUGUAGAAUGUGGUCAUAAUUUUUGCAAACAAUGUAUCCUUCAGUACAUCCAAAUGACUUCUCAGAUCUAUUUUAAAUGUCCUGAGUGCAGGACAACUUCUGUUGUGCAAAAUCUCUGGCCCAAUCAACAACUCAACAGAGUGGC